GAUGAGCGCUGGCGGCGUGCCUAAUACAUGCAAGUCGAGCGAACGGACGAGAAGCUUGCUUUUCUGAUGUUAGCGGCGGACGGGUGAGUAACACGUGGAUAACCUACCUAUAAGACUGGGAUAACUUCGGGAAACCGGAGCUAAUACCGGAUAAUAUUUUGAACCGCAUGGUUCAAAAGUGAAAGACGGUCUUGCUGUCACUUAUAGAUGGAUCCGCGCUGCAUUAGCUAGUUGGUAAGGUAACGGCUUACCAGGGCAACGAUGCAUAGCCGACCUGAGAGGGUGAUCGGCCACACUGGAACUGAGACACGGUCCAGACUCCUACGGGAGGCAGCAGUAGGGAAUCUUCCGCAAUGGGCGAAAGCCUGACGGAGCAACGCCGCGUGAGUGAUGAAGGUCUUCGGAUCGUAAAACUCUGUUAUUAGGGAAGAACAUAUGUGUAAGUAACUGUGCACAUCUUGACGGUACCUAAUCAGAAAGCCACGGCUAACUACGUG
rnacentral:rRNA from 1 species